rnacentral:lncRNA from 1 species
AUUGGAUUUGGCAUUAGAGGACUAAACAUCUAGGUUCUAAAAUUCUAUCCAGUUCCAACAUUUUAGACCAUGACACAGAAAUGCUCUUUUAUACAUAGGAAGUAUCCUAUCCCCUUUUGCAGAUGAAGAAACUGAUACCCAGGUAGAUGAAAUGACUUUUCAAGUUCACAAA